CGACCUCGCAUGGCCCCAGGCCGGCGGAACGGGCGCGACCGGCACGAUGUUCUCCUGGCGUAUCCCCAGGCAUUGCGGAUGUUCCCUCCCUCUUCCGCCAUGCGAUGCGCCCUCCUAGCCCCGCCUGUCCAGCGACGGACCGGCGGGGCUUUUU
rnacentral:sRNA from 1 species